rnacentral:lncRNA from 1 species
CUCUUGAGCUCUUGUGGUGACCUGGGAAUCAAUGUGUGAGGUGGUGCUAUGUAGCAGGAACCCCUCUUGCUUUGCAAAUAGUUUUUUGUUUGUUUUCCUUUUUGCCCAAUAGAGCCCUGCUCUACUGACCCUUCAAUGUGCCCGUGUGCCUAAAUAUUCCUGGUCGUGUGAAAAGAACCCAGGUAUUAGCUGAACUAAGGAGCACAAUUCUGCAACAUUUUGGCACCCAAACACGGGGCUUGAGAAAUGAAUGCAAUUGGAGAAACUGGUUGUUUUACCAGGCGUUGAUUGGAAAUGUGUGCUUCCCUUUAAGCAGUCAAGCUCAACUUGCAGAACUGAUGGGAACCCCUUGGGAAAACUGGCCUCAAAUGUUUGUCUACACAGUCCACAUACAGGGUUCUUAACCUGCGAUUGAAACUCCCACAACUUUGGCAGACCAACUCCUCAGAAAACAUUAUUCUUUGACAUCAAUAUGUUUUGCACAAAAUUGAAUGGCAAGUGAAAGGCAUCAAAUGCAUAUUUAACUAUCCGGCUAUUUUGGAGAUUGAAAAAAGAAGACCUGAUUUAUCAUGUGCAAUAUCUCACACAUCUGUCAUUUCUAUUCUACCGCAAUUCGAUGGAGUCUUGUUCUGUGGUCCAGGCUAGAGGGCAGUGGCAUGAUCUCGGCUCACUACAAGCUCUGCCUCCCGGGUUCACGCCAUUCUCCUGCCUCAGCCUCCUGAGUAGCUGGGACUACAGGCGCCCGCCACCACGCCUGGCUAAUUUUUUGUAUAUUUACUAGAGAUGGCUAGUGUUAGCCAAGAUGGUCUCGAUCUCCUGACCUCGUGAUCUGCCCACCUCAGCCUGCCAAAGUGCUGGGAUUACUGGCGUGAGCCACCGUGCCUGGCCAGCAUCCUCUAAUUAUUAUUCAUAGUUUGUGAAUUUAGGCCUACGUGAAUAAUAAUAUAAUAUUUACUAUGAUGUUACUAUCUACCAACCUUAUUUUUCUUUUCUAUAAAAUAGGAGCCAAAAUAAUAUUUAUGUCAUACCUUAUGAAGUUAAAAUAAAAUAUAACGAAUGAGGGGCUUAACAAU